AUUGCUAAAAGAAUACUGCAAAAAUGAUCCAACUCUAGACUCUUCCAUAUAUGCUUGCUUAAAUCCAAAUGGUGACCGUAAUCAUAAAUGCAUGCCGGAGUGUGUAGCACACGUGCUCAUGUAAUUAAGCUGUUUGCGUAAGUGACACUGGUUCAUUUCAGGCCUAUUCCCAAUAUCUCUCCCUCAGCGUUCCUUUCAGCUCUAUAGUCUUCUUUCAGUUAAUUCAAAAAUAUUAAUUAUUUAACUAUCAGAAGAGUUUCUGUAACAUCAUGGGUGUUUAUAUGGAAUGUCAUCUAUUUAGAUAUGAUAAACUCUUAAUGCAUUUUUUCUCAAGUUGUCAACUAUCAAAUAACAUUUUAAGAUUUUCACCCUGUAGAAAAGAAAAUCCCAUGUAUUUAUGCUGUAUUUCCUUGCAGAAAACAUUGGGGAGGAUCAGGAACAGGAAGCAAGCUGGCUCAUUUAAGGAUGGUUUGUCAUUCAACAUUUUUCCUAAAAAAAUUUUUUAAAUACAUAAGAUAGUGUACUAUAUAGUAUCCAUUCAUCUACCCAUCCAUCCAAGCUGAUACCAUUGUGAACUUUCUAAGUUUGUCUUGAUGAACUGAAUGCACCUCAAACAACUAUACAUUCAGCAGUAACCCAUUAUUAUAAGUCCCAUUAGUUAAAAUGUUCAUCCAUUAAAUAUUCAAUAAUAAAAUUAAAUAAACAUAAACAAUACAUUGUUAGUUCAUGUUAGCUAAGGUCCAUUAAAUUAUAUUAACUACUACAACUUUUGAUUUGACUAUUGUAUUAGUAAAUGUUUAAAAUAUAAUGUAGUUAUAUGGAACGGAACCUUGGAACCUUAUUGUAAAUGUUACCAAUGCAGUUUGAAUCCCAGUGAUUUGAUUUUUGGGUAAAGUGAGAUGGAUUGUAAUUCUUUCAAUAAUCGUUGUAGAACUUCUAAGACCAGAAACUUCAAAAGUGAUACUAUAUGAACUGCAGUGGGUUGAACGUUGUUCAUUAUCUUCUUAUAGAGCCGCGGUUUUACCAGGAGAUCAAGGAGCGAGGCCUAAACGCCAGCAGCCUGAGCACAGAGGACGAUGAGUUCUCUCCGACCGAGCCUCCAGAGGAUCAGGGCAUCGUGGUGAAGAACUUCAGGGCAGCGUACAUGACAUGGAGUCAACUGCAACAGGUGAAAGAUUUGGGCAUUUUGGAUACCAUCUCCCCUGAAGAACGCAAAAGACAAGAAGUGAGUCUGUUUCAGGUCUCUUAUGCUCAUCAUGGCUGCAUUUAUUGAUAAAAAAAAUGCAAUAAAAAGAGUAAUACUGUAAAAUUUUGCA
ensembl:lncRNA